rnacentral:sRNA from 1 species
GCACAUGGAUGUUGCACGUGCAUCCCUCCUGAAGCUGUGCUCUCGGUCAAAGAGGACAACCAUCCCCAGGAGAAGAGGACUUUCUUCGGCCAAGGGCACACUAGUAGCUGCGCUGGGAAUUCCCGUUGUGACUCAGCAGGUUAGGAACCCGAAGAGUAUCCGUGGCAAUGAGGAUCCCU